rnacentral:rRNA from 1 species
UACGAAGGGUGCAAGCGUUACUCGGAAUUACUGGGCGUAAAGCGUGCGUAGGUGGUUUGUUAAGUCUGUUGUGAAAGCCCCGGGCUCAACCUGGGAAUGGCAAUGGAUACUGGCAGCUAGAGUGCGGUAGAGGGUAGUGGAAUUCCCGGUGUAGCGGUGAAAUGCGUAGAGAUCGGGAGGAACACCAGUGGCGAAGGCGGCUACCUGGACCAGCACUGACACUGAGGCACGAA